rfam:Xenorhabdus poinarii str. G6 chromosome, complete genome.
ACGUCAAGAUAAUGAGGCGUUCAUCCUGACACUUAUCAGGCACUGAACGGGGAGCAUGUCAUCGCCGUGCUGAGCACGCCGCGAGCUCCUGCAAUAACUCAACACUCCCUCGCCCUGCUACACAUUAUCUGACG